AGGUGGUUGUGGAGUAUAAGAUCGUAAGAUUCUUGGUGUUGGGAUUGAGGUCAUGAUUGCUUAAUGAGAUUUUUGGCUAUGAAGAGCAUUGUAGUACACUCUCUGGCAUCUGAUUCAGAAGCAGCAGCAGCAGCA